GAUGAACGCUGGCGGCGUGCCUAAUACAUGCAAGUCGAGCGAAUGGAUUAAGAGCUUGCUCUUAUGAAGUUAGCGGCGGACGGGUGAGUAACACGUGGGUAACCUGCCCAUAAGACUGGGAUAACUCCGGGAAACCGGGGCUAAUACCGGAUAAUAUUUUGAACUGCAUGGUUCAAAAUUGAAAGGCGGCUUCGGCUGUCACUUAUGGAUGGACCCGCGUCGCAUUAGUCUAGUUGGUGAGGUAACGGCUCACCAAGGCAACGAUGCGUAGCCGAGCUGAGAGGGUGACCUGCCACGCUGGGACUGAGACACGGCCCAGACUCCUACGGGAGGCAGCAGUAGGGAAUCUUCCGCAAUGGACGAAAGUCUGACGGAGCAACGCCGCGUGAGUGAUGAAGGCUUUCGGGUCGUAAAACUCUGUUGUUAGGGAAGAACAAGUGCUAGUUGAAUAAGCUGGCACCUUGACGGUACCUAACCAGAAAGCCACGGCUAACUACGUGCCAGCAGCCGCCGCAG
rnacentral:rRNA from 1 species